rnacentral:rRNA from 1 species
AAACCGCGAAUGGCUCAUUAAAUCAGUUAUGGUUCCUUAGAUCGUACCUUACUACUUGGAUAACUGUGGUAAUUCUAGAGCUAAUACAUGCAGCAGAGCUCCGACCUUCGGGGACGAGCGCUUUUAUUAGACCAAGACCAAUCGGACUUCGGUCCGAAGCUCAUGGUGACUCUGGAUAACUUUGGGCUGAUCGCACGGUCUCGUACCGGCGACGCAUCUUUCAAGUGUCUGCCUUAUCAACUUUCGAUGGUAGGUUAUGCGCCUACCAUGGUCGUAACGGGUAACGGGGAAUCAGGGUUCGAUUCCGGAGAGGGAGCCUGAGAAACGGCUACCACAUCCAAGGAAGGCAGCAGGCGCGCAAAUUACCCACUCCCGGCACGGGGAGGUAGUGACGAAAAAUAACAAUACGGGACUCUAUUGAGGCCCCGUAAUUGGAAUGAGUACACUCUAAAUCCUUUAACGAGGAUCUAUUGGAGGGCAAGUCUGGUGCCAGCAGCCGCGGUAAUUCCAGCUCCAAUAGCGUAUAUUAAAGUUGUUGCGGUUAAAAAGCUCGUAGUUGGAUCUCAGUUCCAGACGGGUGGUCCACCUUUGGUGGUUACUGCCUGGCCUGAACAAAUCCAGCCGGUUUUCCUUGAUGCUCUUCACCGAGUGUCUUGGGUGACCGGCACGUUUACUUUGAAAAAAUUAGAGUGCUCAAAGCAGGCGUGACGCCUGAAUAAUGGUGCAUGGAAUAAUGGAAUAGGACCUCGGUUCUAUUUUGUUGGUUUUCGGA